UACAGAGGGGGCAAGCGUUAUUCGGAAUUAUUGGGCGUAAAGGGCGCGUAGGCGGCGAUUCAAGUGACGGGUGAAAUCCCUCGGCUUAACCGAGGAACUGCCUGUCAGACUGGAUUGCUUGAGGCCGGGAGAGGUGAGUGGAAUUCCCAGUGUAGCGGUGAAAUGCGUAGAUAUUGGGAGGAACACCAGUGGCGAAGGCGGCUCACUGGACCGGUACUGACGCUGAUGCGCGAAAGCGUGGGGAGCAAACAGG
rnacentral:rRNA from 1 species